GAUUUUAUUCUGUCAUGGAGUGCUCAAACAAAAUGGCAUAAAUAUAUUGACUCAAUGGUUAAAACAUUAACUCCAGUGAAACUCCUGAUGUGCUAAUUCAACAGAACCUACCAAUGCCUUUCUGGGAAGAGUUGGGUCCCCACCCCCUGCUUGCAGAAUGUGCUCAAAUCCUGCCCCUGCCCUGCCAUGGGUCUAAGGGCCAUGGGUGUAAGAGUCACCACGUAGGAGUGAAGCUUUAGAGCAGAGCCUUUCUCAAUCAAAUAUGUUCUCCUUUCCUCUUUCUGGGCCAAUCUCGAGGUUCAGAAGGGCUGAGUGCAGAAAGAGAUGGGAUCUUUACACUCUGAGUGCUGAACUCACUGGGGACUUUCCAGGUAAAUGCCCUAUUAAACUAAUCCUUUCAUUAAAGUUGGUUCUGGUCUAGAAGUCAGGAGGAGUGGGGUUGGUUCAUCUUCUGACUGCCACUCCCUCUUCCCUCCAGCAUUGCCAAUCACCCUAGUUCUUGCUUCCAGCCCAGGCCUCUUAAACUAUUUUUGUUAUUUAAUAAUCCUCUCUCUCAAAGUUGCUAACGCCUUUAGAGACUGGUUAAAACUCACAAGUGAGAAUUGGAACAGUGUGAGUGGUUUCAAGCAGUGAGAGAUGUCUGGACUUUUUCCCCGCUGCCUAUGGAAGUUCAAUGGAAGCUGUGGGUAGGAAGAAUAUAGCCAAUGUCACCCAUAAAUUAUCUGGGGAAUACCAAUUCACAUCACCUCUCACCAGACUAAGAUCCGAGUGACCUUUGGAGGAACUUGAUUAACCUCUGCAGGGUUUCAGGCUCCUAAGCUGACAAACAAAGAGGUUUGGCUGAGAUCAGACUGUCUCAAACUCUUUACCGCUGGGGCUGAGAUGCUUCCAAGUUGGUGGGGUACAAGGGACCUCUUCUUCCACCUACUUAUCCAUUUUGAUGUUCAUGUUCUGUGUAGAAUUUGACAAAAUUACAGUUUGAAAAUUCCUAGCCUAGGUGAUUUCUAAGGUUCCUUCCCGACCUAACAUUCUACGGUUCUGAGAUGCAAUUUUCACAGAAAGAGACAGCUGUCUCCUCUUGAUGUUGCCCUUCAACCCACGCUGAUCUGGAAAUUGUUUAAGGGCUCAUAUCUCUUCUCUGGAGUCCUCAGAGCUACAAAUUUUGCCAAAUGACUGAGAAGCUGCCUCCAUCUUCUGCACAUCCUUGGACCAGAUGGGACCCUCAGUGUCCCUGAAAUUCUGUUGCAUGCUUCUGCAAACCAAGCCAGCUGCAGACGGCAGGUGUCUGGAAGGAAUGACCGCUUCAGGCAUCACAUCCAGGCUGGGCCCCUCAUGGCACUACCUGGUUUGUGAUGGAAUUAAAGACAGUUUCCUCUCAGGUGUUGCUCUGGGAUUUCCAAGUCCAUGAAAAGGGCUUCUCUGCCUAAAGUUCCAGGCUCCCCACAACACACCAACCAGAUUCAAGUGUUCCCAGUUAUUCCCAUGCUCUGACUCAUUCUUUACACCUAGAAGCUGGAAAGUAUGUACACUGUUCAGAAGAUCAAGGCCAACCGUCCCCCAACUCCUCCACCCCCACUCUUGUGGCUUAAGGCAGAGAAACCACCUAAUAAAUCAAGUAUUUCCUAAGCCUACUUGGCCACAGAACACUUUUCCAUAUAAUAGAAACUUUGGGAAAUGUUGAAACGACCUGAUUCAAUUCUGACUUCUCUGCAAGCAAGGGAUAAUUACCCCCAUUUCUGAGGUAAGAAAAUAGAAACCCAUCCAGUAGGUGGAGGAGCCACUGCUAGACACCCAAGUCUCCGCCUCCAAAAUAAGAACUCUCACAUUUCUAAAACACUGAGCUAUAAAAGCCACACCAUCACAGGCACUAUGUCUUUUGCUUUUCAUUUUAAAAUGUAUAGGUGAAACUAAAUGUUAGUAGAAUUAAGUGACUUGGCCAAAACCACAGAGCUCCUUAGGAGUGGACAAGGGGAUAGGCCUACAUUCACUAAUUUGUAAAAAUCUGUGAAUGGAGAAACAAGCUGCUGUGGAUGGUCAUAACUGGUCUGAGUGCACACCUGCCUGACCUAAGAACCAGCCCAACAACCAGCCCAACAGAACCGACCUUUCAUGCAUUUAGGGUGAGCUGCAGGAAUGCAACUGUUACUUCAGAGCUCAAUAGCUCAAUCUCAGUCCAUUCACACUGGCAACAAGCUGGCACAACCCUCACUGAACUGAUGGAAACAAAAAUCUGGCCACUUGGAGAUUAUAAUCACUCUCAUGAAAAUGACUGUUCAGCAGCAACUCCUAUUCUCCCAAAGGAAACAACAGUGCAGGCAAAUGUUCUUUAGGAUCGGCACACGCCCGCAGCAGCGCUCUCUCCAUCAGGACCUCCCUCUAACAUUUCUCUGGCAUAAGUGAGUGUCGGAUGGAAGCAUCCCCCAGGCUUGCCAAGUGCCUCCCCUCGCAGCCCCCCUGCUGUUCUGCCAGUAAGUAGCAUCUGAACGAGAGAGAGGCAAGUCAUCCUGGCCACAUGGCACCAGCCCGGACCUGGGAAGGUGAGCCUGGUUCCAGCCAGCAGCAGCCCCCCCCACACACACACCCUGCUGCCCCUCUCCCAGAAACCCAGAUCACGUCUCAUGUCUCACCAAUUACAAAGGUUGCUCAGGGAGUGCCUGUCGAGGGAAAGUGGGAUGAGCAUCUGGAGACCAUUAUAGGAUAGAGAUAGGCAUCUUGCCUUAGAAAUCGGCAUCAAGCCCAAACUGUGUUAAUUCCUGCAGCACAGCCUACCACAGGGCAGCAGGACUGCCAGAGGAGGAGAAGGGAGAAAAAGGAAAGUCUAUAGGGUAUGUUUCCCUGAAGGCGGUUUUUUAGCUGAGUUUUUUCCGUGGGGUUUACUAUACUGCCCUGAAUUCUUAUACUCACAUACUUUUUUUUUUUUUUUAAAGCAAAGCAGGACAUACAAAAGAACAGCAACU